AUGUUUGUCAGAGAAGCCCGAGCAUCCAGUGCCGCCUCCACCUGCACCCGCGUCUCAGGGACGGCCCAUGCGCCAACUCCGCCAGCAGUGCGUGAAAUGACCCAAGGCUGGGGAAAAACACCUCGGCAGAGACACGAAAGUGCAAAAACCCUCUGGUCACCCCCAGAGCCGCCUGCGGGGAGCACUUCGGAGGACAGCGAUGCAUCCCUUCCUGUGGCCGCGUGGCCAGCCGCCCCAGGACACGGGCUUCCAGCGGCGCGGGCCGGCUCUCUUCCCUCCUGGAGGCCAAAAGUGGGAGGUGCCGCCCGUCCACGACGCAGCCCCCUUUCUCUCAGGGCUCAGGUGACACGGCCCCUCCCCGGCCUCUGGACAGCUAGGGAUGCGUCGUUCUUCCCCUGCUCUUUCCCGAUGUGCAAUAGUCUUUGAUUUUUUACGCAUAUUUUGUAACAUAGGGAAUUAUUUUACCAAAAUGAAAUCAUACCCGAUGUGCAAUUGUGUCCACUGCGUUUUUCGGUUAACCGGCUCCUUCUCUCCGUGUCAACCCGUCUUGUUGGAUGCCUGCUGUCCGUCCGGUGCCUCCCAUCCGCCCCUAAUGUCCUGCACAGCCGGUUUGUCCAAACCGGGUUCAGAGUCCAGCCCAGGACCACCCCUUGAAUCUCCACCUCUUACAGAUUAUUUUAAUAUAGCAAAUCCACCUGCUUUUAAAAUUUUUCAUCAUUAUCAUAUUUAACGGCACCGACUUGCAGGAGAGACCCCGCUAGUUAUCCCGCCGAAUUUCUCACCUUCCGAAAUUUUCUGGUUGCUGCUCUCCUGAAUGAAUCGUCACUUGUUUCUCUCUUCUUUGUAUUUCUCGUGACCUGCGAAGUGAGCUCUCAAGGCGUGAGUGACAGAAAGGGAGGAAGGCGCUUACGAUGCGAUGCCGGGGGGACUCGAAGGCCCAGGUCAAGGACACGUCCCG
rnacentral:lncRNA from 1 species